rnacentral:rRNA from 1 species
GUGGGGAAUAUUGGACAAUGGGCGAAAGCCUGAUCCAGCCAUGCCGCGUGUGUGAAGAAGGUCUUCGGAUUGUAAAGCACUUUAAGUUGGGAGGAAGGGCAGUAAGUUAAUACCUUGCUGUUUUGACGUUACCGACAGAAUAAGCACCGGCUAACUUCGUGCCAGCAGCCGCGGUAAUACGAAGGGUGCAAGCGUUAAUCGGAAUUACUGAGCGUAAAGCGCGCGUAGGUGGUUUUGUAAGUUGGAGGUGAAAUCCCCGGGCUCAACCUGGGAACUGCCUCCAAAACUGCAUGACUAGAGUACGGUAGAGGGUAGUGGAAUUUCCUGUGUAGCGGUGAAAUGCGUAGAUAUAGGAAGGAACACCAGUGGCGAAGGCGACUACCUGGACUGAUACUGACACUGAGGUGCGAAAGCGUGGGGAGCAAACAGGAUUAGAUACCCGGGUAGUCC